ACGGACUCAUGCCCUUAUGACCUGGGCUACACACGUGCUACAAUGGACAGAACAAAGGGCUGCAAGACCGCAAGGUUUAGCCAAUCCCAUAAAUCUGUUCUCAGUUCGGAUCGCAGUCUGCAACUCGACUGCGUGAAGCUGGAAUCGCUAGUAAUCGCGGAUCAGCAUGCCGCGGUGAAUACGUUCCCGGGCCUUGUACACACCGCCCGUCACACCACGAGAGUUUGCAACACCCGAAGUCGGUGAGGUAACCUUUAUGGAGCCAGCCGCCGAAGGUGGGGCAGAUGAUUGGGGUGAAGUCGUAACAAGGUAGCCGUAUCGGAAGGUGCGGUUGGAUCACCUCCACAGUU
rnacentral:rRNA from 1 species